ACACUUAGCUGGCAGGGGGAUGCAUGAUCACGAAGAUGGUUUUCUCAGGGUGAGACUUAUCUUUUGUACCCUGAAUAUGCUGAUUUCUAUGAUUUCCCCAAGUGUGGGAGACUGCAUAAAUUGCAAUAGCGGGGGACUGUGUUUACACUCUGGCCUG
rnacentral:snRNA from 1 species